CCUUUGGGGAGUAAAAGCAGAUAAAGACCACAGUUUAUAUUUGAGGUUUUACAGGAAAUUACUACGUACAAAAUAAAUCUGAGUGAGUUAGAAAGUUGGUCCACAGACAAACACACACAAAAGCUUUUUUUAUAGAGGAAGUGAAAAAUUCCUGUCUGAAACCGACAAUAGGAAGAGUUUAAAAAAGCCUAACGUUGGAAGUUUAUGAGCAAUUGCUCAAUUUUCUAGUUCGCCUCUUUCUAUACCUGCAUGCAAAUCUAAUCAUUCAUCUACGAUGUACGGAUAAUUGACAAAUCUAAUUAUUCCAGUCUGAUCUGAAAUGUUUAUCUUUUGUAUAAAGUGCACAGACUAAUUCAGCUGCGUGCACUGCAAAUUGACUAAUUGGUCGUCGUUCAACCAAAAUAAAACCCACUCAGGUUUAAAAAAAAAAAGACAAACACACUCACUGAGUUUGAAUUCCUGAAAGAGCCACAGAAAGACUGAAGCAGGACCCCGUCCCUGUCCUCUCCUUAAGGUCUGAAUUUAACAAACACCUCCACUUUCUCUUUGCCCGUAAACAUGAGGAGAUAAAUCUGAUUGGCUCAUUACUUCAGGAUCGUGCAGCCAUGUUUACAUGAAGUCUGUGCACGGUGAAAGGUAAAUGUAGCCGACAUGAUACCCUAAAUAAAACUCAGUUCCAUUCAUUAUUUACAUUCGGACUUUAAUCAAUUAUGAAUGACAGCUAAUUAGUGUUGAGCAGAGGCCAUCGCUCUCCGCGGUGUCAGAGUCAACUUGAAGUACUGUAUGUCACGGAGUGUGGACAUUGACGAAAAACCUCUCAGCUCAGUACAGAUUCGGGUGUCUCUCAGCUGAGGAGACGUCACUAAUCAUCUGUGAAAGUGCGUGGCUGCGAGUGCGGGCGCGGACACGUGCGUAUGUGCGUGUGCGCGCGCUCGAUAAUAAUAAGGCAAGUGAAAAUGAAGAGGAGCUAAACUGUGUAAGUCAUUUCUCAUUUCCUUGCUUCGGUGCCUGUCAGAAGAAAAGCCCUCCGUUUUGAAUGAUGGCGCAGACAACAAAAAGUGAACAACAAACCCUGUGGCAGUGGGGAGAGAAAUGGAGGGAGGAAAAGUAAGACAGGAGGAAAGAAAGUAAGAAAGAAAGAUACUCGCGAGCUGGCUAACACUGACAAAUACUCUGUUUUUUAAAAAUGACCAAAGCAGCAAACAAACAAAGCCAGAUCCUGAUAUCUGCGCCGUGAUAACACCACUGGACAUGCCCUGAAAGUGAAACAUAAUAGAGGAAAAAAACGCCCCUACAGUUGGCACUGGUAGAGUUUUGGAAGGACCUUUCAAGGGGCUGAUUUAAUGUGUGAGCAUCAAUCCUUUAGCAGCAGCGGGCCUUGACAGCAAGUGAAAGUAAUCUCUUCUUUAUUAAUGGGACUUUUCACUUUGGACCUGAGGCCUUUUGGUAUUCCAUAAUAGUCGUGUGGAAGCACAGACCUAAGGAAAGAACAAUAUGAAAUCAGAUCAAGUGGAUGUGUUAGGUAUGAUAAGUGGAAAGUAUUCUUUUUGGAAUUUAGCACUGUCCUUCGAGAAGAAAAAAGAUGAGAGUGUGUUUGAAUCCAAUGAAAAAGUCUCACGGCGCGAUGUGGAGAGGGAAAAGCGUACCGCCGAUGACUCAUAACAAAAGAAAACACAUUAUUUAGUCGAUCCAGGUCAAAUUAGUGGUAAUUUAAUUUGUGUAUUGUGUCACUUUGACUAAUUCAAUAAUUGUACCUCUGACUGCGUUCAAGGGCUUUGCCUUCUGCAGCACUGUCCUUGAAAAGCAAUAAAAUACAACAUUAAAAACCAGCAGAUUUCAUUCAUUAUGACUCUUUUCCUUAGAUCUAUACCACAAUCUGGACAAAGUGAUGAAAACAUGAUUUCACCAGGGUGUGAGGUACGAGGUUAAAAGCUUUUCUGUUUUGACCCUUGACUCUCUUUUCUCUCUCUUCUUCAGUUCUUCCCUCACAGCUGGAGCCCAGUGAGGAACAUUUUCAGGUGUUGGAGAGACUCCUUUUCUUUGCACAGUGAUAAUGGACUGACCUUCCUCUCGCUAAAUACUCUAGUAAAGAAUCUCCUCACAGUUUCAGCUUAGUUUUACAAGCAGGAGACACUCUCUGACAACCUCUGAACUCAGGCUGUCACAGUACACCAAUCCUGAUGGUAGCCGUGUUUAGAAAUAAUGAAAUAUGUAAACAGGGGUGAGAUUGAAGUAACUGGGGGGAUGUGGGUUUUUAAUAAAAGGACAGAGUGUUUUUUUGGUAACAUGUCCAUGUCUCUCAUGAAGCGCAGGUACAUGUAAUCGAGCUGUAAUCUGAGUUUGAUGCUGCGUUCCAGUUACCUUGGAAGUCGGAAAUGGGAAUGAAGUUACACCCGAGUUGACGGCAUUUCAGUUAACAAGUUGGAAAACCAAGAUGGAUACCUAUAGUUACCCGUUGUUAGCCGUUGUUUACAAUUGUCAGCUGUGGUCAGCCGUUGUCAGCUGUUGUAAGCGGUUGUUAGUUACUCUUUACUGUUGAUGCACUCUGCUGCCAUCUUGAAUUAUGACGUUGUCGUCAGGUCGGGGUUGGCAAGGAUCGUUCGACUUUCCGAGUCGGAAAUCCGACUUCAGGGGGGCCUUCCAGAUGAAUUUCCGACUCGGAGCUCGAGUCUUCUGAGUACAACUGGAAUGCAGCAUGAGACUUCAGUCUCUAAAAGUGUUCUGUUAAAUCCUGGGAAUUCAUAUUUUUGUAAAUUUAUAAAUUAAAUGAAGUAAAUGUAUCCCUUUUAUCUAGUAAACUCAUACAUUUUGAUGACAUUUUAGUUUAAACACUUGGUUCUCGUAAAUUUACAUUUGUUUGUCUGAUAAAUAUACAGCUUUAUCUUGUAAAAUGACACUUUUUCUGGUAACACUUUAUGAACCCACUUCUUAUAAUACGUCAGUAAGGCUUUAUAUCAACCCUUAUUAGUGGUUAUAUGAGUUUAAUUUCUCCGCUGAAGGAUGAAUAAAGCAAUAUCUAACCUAAUCUAAACUAAACAUUCACAUCUUGUAGUAAUGUUUAUCAGGUGUUAUAAGCAGCUAGCAUCGAAAAAAAGCAUCUUUUAAACUCUGCACCUCAUAACUCUCACAGCUUAACCCAGUUAUAAAAGUUCAUAAAGAACUCAUUCUGUGUAUAAUGAGCUAAAAGAAAAAGAUUAAAUAUUAAUUACAGGGCAGUAUGUCCUUUGAUUAAACGAUUUGUACUUAAAUGCAGCUUAAUUCAGAUAGGUAAACUGAGAGGAUAUCACCAUAUUUUCAGUUAAUACUAACCCAUUUUAAACCAAAACUCUAAAAUAAUUGGUAAACAAAACCCAAAUAUUCAUACUUUAAAAAAAAAAAAAAACUUUGUGGGUUUGAGGAAUUGAAAUCUUAUGAAAGGUUUGAGGACGUUUAAUAGAAACCAAUUCAGCGACGGCAGCUCCAACAUCCGUCAGGCUAAAACAGCUCAUUUAUUUGAAUGAUUUAUCCGAGUACAGCGUUACAGAGCUGCUUCAAACACUGACGUCCCGGCAAGUGACAGACAAACAGGAAAUUAGAGACAUGCAGGAAAUACCAAGAACACUCUGUGGGUGAUAAUGAUUGUUGUGAUGGAGACUGAAGAGUCUUAAGUUGAAAGAUGACCCCUCUGUCAUUCAUAACACCGCUCUAUUGCUGCUUGUGUAGCCUCUGAGCUGAGCUGAAUUGGGAUCUGAUUUGUCAGGGGAAUUGGUGGGGAAUGUUAUUGCUUUAUUAUCUUGAAAAGGAAUUCAAUAAUCACACAGUCGUGAUAACUUGUGCUUUACCUCAAUAUCAUAAUGAAGUAAAUGUUUUUGGCCAUGAAUAAUGUUGGUUCACAAACUAGAAAAAUGCUGACCUUAAGCAUAAGCGUCAUUUGGGUUUGUUGACAUGUUCAGUACUGGUGUGGUUAAAUGAAAAGGCCAAACAUGGCGCUCAUGACUCAUCCGAUACAAUUCACUCGUUUCCAUCAUAAAUGAAGAUUAGGCAGUGAAGGCCGGAUGGUUCGGUGAGAGUUCAUGCAAGGUGUGCAGUUUUCAAAAUGUCCAGAAGUUGGGGUUAGGUUCAAAAUUUACUGACCAUUAUGGGAGGUUGGGGUUAGGCAUUAACGCCAAAGGGGUGAAGUCAAGGUUUAGCAUCAUGCAGGUGGUUAGGUAUGGCUAUGAAGUCCACUGACUGCUAGGUUCAGGCACAUCGUAGCACAAAGUGUGAGACCCAUUUUUGCACCAUGUCCAUGUCCAUGUCCAAUCAACAUAUGGAAUUAGUUGGAGAUGACCUUAAAGGUGGGGUACAAGAUACAAGGCGUACAAGGCGUGCUACAAGAUUGGUCUUGCAGAACCAAACAGAGAGUACAGAAAACCCAAGCAAGAAAACAAAGUAAAUACCAGAGACUCUAGUGGAAUAACGGGCGCUUAAAAAGGAAGUCGACCGGCAAGAGCUACGAAGUCGGGUCAACAUCAGCAUAAAGAUGGGGGAUGCUUCGGGAUCUUGCAGACCCUGUAACCUUUAUGCUGGUCAGGUGAACCAUUUUAGCAAAGUAAGCAAAGUGUCUGUGACAGAAGUGUUUCUUGUCAAACGGGACCUGCUGCAUGUUGUAGCGACGCUAAACUGUUGACCUCUGGUCCUGGACUAUGUCACUUUAUCCUAGUUGUAGAAGUCCUGCAAACAUUGUGUUUGCUGGUAGUCUGUUGGCAUCUACAGUAGCACCAAUGCUUUUUACUUUCACGUUGACUGGGCCCCAUUUGUAAUGAUCUGAAGUAUUUAUCUGCAUUAUAUCUGAAUUUAAUUGAAAUGAUACGAGCGAGCAGGAGCGUCUGUUUGUGGGCGGGGCUUGCGGGAGAAGAGACAGAGGGGAGGGGAGGAGCUGAGAGGAAAACUGGUUGAGAGGGGUAGAGUUUAUGUUCAAGAGUUCUCUCCAAAAACUGGCACUUCCUCAGAUCCUGCCUACCCCACCUUUAACUUUGCACUUGUUUGUCUAUAUUUCUGCACACUCUCAAUACUUGUACAGAUAAAAAUAUGUAGUAUAUUGGAAAUCCUGUAGGCAGUGUCCAGUGGUGUAGCCAAUAGUUCAGAGAUGUCUGGCAAACAGAGACAGAAGAAGAUGGUGGAUUUUUUUAGAUGGGGGACUAUGAUUAUUCAUUUACUGAAUGAGGCUUUGAUAGGGUAGCUGUUCUGUGACACUCAUAAUCAACCCAAAGAGGACGGGAGCUUCACUCUAUACAUCUUAUCUCUACAACUCAUUUGCCAUACCCGAAAAGAGAACAAUCAAAAGACGACCAUGCCUGCAGCCAAAAUCACAGCUCCUGAUUCAUCAGAACUUUUUAUCCCACGGCUAUAAUUUAAAUCUCUUUAAAGCAGGUUUCAAUCCGCAGCAAAUCAGUGUAGUUGCUAUGAUACAGAUUUGCACCUGAGCCAGCCACAGAUGUGAGUAAAUGACUCAUGCUGUGGUAACAACUAGUGCCGUGCUUUGCUAUAGGCUUCUAUAUUUUAUAUGAGCCUUCAUCCACACAGCAGGAAAAUGUGCCUCUGCUUAUGUGUUUGCUUUCAAGAACGUGGUUUCUUUAACUUAUCACUAAGUAAUUCAACUGUUUUGAGGUUAAUGUCAUUCAAAAUGACACUCACGCUCUUUUGCUAGUUUGGUUGCUAACAAUAAAGCGUUUUGCUGUUGUGUGUUCUUAAAAAAGGUGAAAAAAAAACUGUAAUGACUUUUCGAAUUAUUCUUUGUGUCACUUUUUGACAGUGGGUCUGUUUGUUUUCCUCUAAUAAAACUUUAAUAGUCUGAGCUUCACUCUCUUAAGGGUAGGUUUUAGGGUUACGGACGUAAUUUGUAACUUUUUCAAAAGCCCGUUUCAGUCCCCUGCAGUUUUAACUAUCUGAAAACAAUGUUACUUUACACUAUAGCAAACUGAUACACGUCAGGCACUAGGACCAAACGGCCGCUCAAGCCGAAAACUGGUUUCCCCUUGGUUUGGACCGCCCACAAGGUCCUUGAUUGGCUUUGUCCCGCCCUCCUUCACCUCUGAUUGGCUAGAAGUGCUGGGCUCCGAUUGGUUAUUCCUAAUGGCUGUGAAACGUCAUUGUCUGUCGGGUAAGGGUAAGGAUUAGGAUUAGGAUGAGGGUUAGGGUUAGGGUUAGGAGAUUCAGAAGUGCGAUAAUGCUCUGUAGUGUUCUGUUUGAUGUACAAAGCUGACAGCCCGCAUUUGGCUUGAGCGUGUGAUGACGUUUCCAGCUUUUCUAGCCAAUCAGAGGUGAAGGAGGCGGGACUUUCCCCUACCAUCCAACAAAAAAAAAAAAUAUUGCCUGCCGGACUAGUGUUUCACAAGUUGCUGGUAAGAGUCAGUCCAUGAACAUCGCUAUUUGCUGAUGUAAGUUUACAGGAGGGCGGCGUUCAUUUUCCCUCCAUAACAUCACAUUCAUCAGAGGUUUCAUUUACAUCCCUGAAUCGGGUUUGUACUUCCAUAUAUCCUCUGUCACUCCUAUGUGCUGUUUGCUAGUACUCAAGUCACAUGUGUCCCCCUCUAACUUUGAAAUCAAAAUUUCGUCCAUGGUUGGUAAAAGGAAGAGCUACACAUCUGCAAAGAAACUGCACAUUGCUGAACAUCAUAGCAGUCUUCCUGCAGGAGCACAUUUGAAACCUUUCCCCCUCAAAUAAAUUCCAUCUUAUUUUCCAGUGUGACUCAUAUUCUGGAUUUUACGGUAUAUCUUCAUAUUUAGAAGCUCUGGGCCCUUGACCCAGCUGCCCUAUUUGAUGCGCUGGGAUUAGAAAAGUGUUGACCGGGUGUAUGAACCUCACCUAACACACAGCCUUGAGCACAAACACCCUCCAUAACAAUCCACUUGCCUCAGGCGUCAAAACAACUGUAUUGUAAAUACUGCCAGCUCUGACCCUCCAAAAACAGCCCCCAAUUAGCCUCUGAUGAGCAACAAAACAAGUUCCAAAGUUUUUGCAUUAUUACUUAUUAAUUUCAUUUCAAAGUCUGACAAUCCCCAAGUCUCAUGGCGAUGAAGGAAAGCUCAUUAAAGGACCAGAAUAGAGAAGGGCUCACAUGAAAUAACUUUCAGGAAAUGUAUUCUGUAAAUCCUGAAAUAUUAAAGUUUGCAUAAUCUUUUAACACAUUUGCUGUCAGAUUUGACUCCGGCACACAUGGGGCUCACACUCGGAAGUAAUUGUUGCCGAUGUCAGUGCGCCUGAAUGUAACAGAGCAGUGAGUGAAGUUUGCUGUUGAUUUUUGUGUUGUUUAGGCACGUUUGAGCAUUUUUAUAUCACGUGUCCGUCCUAUUUCUACUUAUCUCUAUUUUGACAUAACUGGGAUCAACAAUUAUGCAUGAGAGAUUUUUAAUGUGGACUAAUUUUGAGAUCAGAUAUUCGAUAUUGGAAGAUCCAUCCUGCCCAGGCAGCUGUCUCUCUUCCCUGAUUUUUCUAUGAUGCUUUUGUUUGUUUAGCUACACGUCUAAGUGAGAGAAGAAGUGAUUUGUAUGAGAAACAUGUACAGACGCUUUAAAAACUCAUUAUUAUAGAAAAUUAUCUCAAUGCUAAUAUGAAAAUGAAAGACUCAGCUUUAAUAAAAAAUAACUUGAAUGCCUUAAGUUCCUUAGGUGCCAAAGAUUAAAAGAUCAGUUUAAUUUUUACACUUAACAUCUCAUCUUGUUUUAUUCAAAAUCUCUCCUGAACAUCAAGAUCUCCAAAAGAAAGACUUGAAAAAGUGAUUAAAAUAUAAGUGACUAAAACUUUGAGGUCUUUUAAAGAGUUGAGGCGUUUUAUUGAAGUUCUGUGCUGGGAAACAGAAGUCAAAUAAGGGAGCAUGAUUAGACUUUAGAUGUCUAAUUCUUUCAUUAAAAUAUCUUUAAGUUUAACGAUUGUUUCUUCUUUUAAAGAGUUUCUUCUCUAGUUCUAAUAAACUGAAAUAAACUACAUUUACUUUGUCAACUCUACCUUCUCUGGAGAGCUAAUUAAUGCUUGUUUGGAUAUUGAAUGAACCUGUAAACUAACCUUGCUACCAAAGCAGUUCAACUAAAAACCUGCAGAGAAGGUUUGUCUAAUAUUGGCAGAUCACUGAGCUGAAGUUUCAGUCUCUGCUCCUCAGACUAUACUGAAAACUGUGCCUUUUAACCGUCAGAGACCAGCAAGAGUGAGAAAGAGUGACAUUUUUGCCACAGGGUCAACAGGCAGUAGGGAAUUGUGCUGGAUCCCUGUAUGCUGGUUGAUUUGAUACAUGUCAUGAAGUCAUGAAGUUGUGUACAAGAGCAGCUCAGCGUGGAUGUGGGUAUUAAAUUAGAAUAUGUUGCUACAUAAUGGUAUCACAAACCAAUGACAAAGUGAUAGAAAAAGAGCCUGUUUGGAUUAUUUUCUUCACCAUGCGCGUGUGUGACCAAUGAAAGCUUGUUGGAACAUGGCUUUACCUGCACUUGCCUCAUUGCGAGCAUUUUCACCAAUAAUAACACCAAAUCACCAAACUGUGGCUGAUCCUAGAUCUGCUGGGUCAAUCCUGCCAAGAUGGCAGAUGGACCAAACCAAUUAAACUACAAUGACAAAAGCUAGGUUUGAAACACUGAGUCAUUGGAAGACAUUGUGACAAGAUGAUCUCUACAGGUUUCUACUAAUUGUGUCAAUCCACACCGAGAGGCCCUGUGUCCUGGUCCUGACAUUGGGACCUGGUACAGCACUCUUACUCAGAGACUGUCUUAAGUUUUUAACCAACAGACACAUUUUACAGAUUUGGUUUACGAGCAACGUAACUCUUAAGUCGAAACCAUCUCUAUGUUCUUCUCAAUUAAAACUGCUCCAAGACUGACUACUGUAUACCAUUAGGACCUGGAGACAAGGUUUUUUUUUUUUUUUUUUCCCUUGGAUUCCAGUAAUUAUUUGGUUGACACCUUCAUAUACAACAUAACUAACUGUAACUAACUGUAAAAUCUACUCGCUUCGUGAGACCAGCAAGCUUCAAGAAUACAACCCCUCAUAAAUGAAGGUAAUCUGUGAUCAUUUAUAAAUACAUCUGAAGGAAAAAUUCAGUUUUGUUGUUGGCUGACCAUGCUACACAGAGGCGGCCAUCUUUGUUUCGAUCUGUUGACCAGUAUCUUUAAUCAAUUACCUGUAAAAGUCCAGUUAGGUGUGAGCAUAGACUGUAUGUAGAAUGGACGCCGUCUG
rnacentral:lncRNA from 1 species